UACCGAGGGGGCAAGCGUUGUUCGGAAUUACUGGGCGUAAAGGGCGCGUAGGCGGCCUUCUAAGUCGAACGUGAAAUCCCCGGGCUCAACCCGGGAACUGCGUCCGAUACUGGAAGGCUUGAAUCCGGGAGAGGGAUGCGGAAUUCCAGGUGUAGCGGUGAAAUGCGUAGAUAUCUGGAGGAACACCGGUGGCGAAGGCGGCAGCCUGGACCGGUAUUGACGCUGAGGCGCGAAAGCCAGGGGAGCAAACGGG
rnacentral:rRNA from 1 species